rnacentral:sRNA from 1 species
CUCCCCUCCACCCGUCCAGUGUGCUCUGGCACCUGUCAGCCCACCCAGUUCCGCUGCAGCAAUGGCUGCUGCAUCGACAGUUUCCUGGAGUGUGACGACACCCCCAACUGCCCCGACGCCUCCGAUGAGGCUGCCUGUGAAAAAUGUGAGGCCUGGGGGAUAGAGGGGGUUGGGCAGCAGACAGGGAGGUCCUGACAGCCUUGCCCUGAACCCCUGGGAGACCCUUGUUGGGCUGAGCCUCUGACCUUUCAUCUCUGCAGACACGAGUGGCUUUGACGAGCUCCAGCGCAUCCAUUUUCCCAGUGACAAAGGGCACUGUGUGGACCUGCCAGACACAGGACUCUGCAAGGAGAGCAUCCCGCGCUGGUACUACAACCCCUUCAGCGAACACUGCGCCCGCUUUACCUAUGGUGGUUGUUAUGGCAACAAGAACAACUUUGA